GACGAACGCUGGCGGCGUGCUUAACACAUGCAAGUCGAACGGAAAGGCCCUGCUUUUGUGGGGUGCUCGAGUGGCGAACGGGUGAGUAACACGUGAGUAACCUGCCCUUGACUUUGGGAUAACUUCAGGUAACUGGGGCUAAUACCGGAUAGGAGCUCCUGCUGCAUGGUGGGGGUUGGAAAGUUUCGGCGGUUGGGGAUGGACUCGCGGCUUAUCAGCUUGUUGGUGGGGUAGUGGCUUACCAAGGCUUUGACGGGUAGCCGGCCUGAGAGGGUGACCGGCCACAUUGGGACUGAGAUACGGCACAGACUCCUACGGGAGGCAGCAGUGGGGAAUAUUGCACAAUGGGCGGAAGCCUGAUGCAGCAACGCCGCGUGCGGGAUGACGGCCUUCGGGUUGUAAACCGCUUUCGCCUGUGACGAAGCGUGAGUGACGGUAAUGGGUAAAGAAGCACCGGCUAACUACGUG
rnacentral:rRNA from 1 species